rnacentral:rRNA from 1 species
UACGAGGGGUGCAAGCGUUGCUCGGAAUUAUUGGGCGUAAAGGGUAGGUAGGUGGUCUCAUUUGUCUGGGGUGAAAGCCUUGGGCUUAACCCAAGAAGUGCCCCGGAAACGGUGAGACUCGAGUCCUGGAGAGGGUCGUGGAAUUCCCGGUGUAGCGGUGAAAUGCGUAGAGAUCGGGAGGAACACCAGAGGCGAAGGCGGCGACCUGGACAGGUACUGACACUAAACUACGAAAGCGUGGGGAGCAAACAGG